ensembl:lncRNA
GUUUUAUGGCAAUGUGUCAGCGAUGACCUUCAGCAAUCAAACUGGAACCGUGCUCGUAAAGGCUAGUCUCGUGUUCCAGUCAAACAAAACCAACGCUGAUGAGAUCAAAGGGCUGUUUAUGAACGCGACCGCUGCCGAUAAGGAAAUAAACGGCCUUAAAGUCAACCCUAAUUUCACACAAGUUUCAGUGAAAUCUGAGGAGGCUCCGAAUGCUUUAGUGACUUACGAGCUCACCAUGGACAUCACCAACCGCAUCUACAACAGCUCUCUACUCAAGUCCAACUCUUCUGAUUAUGCGAUCUUGUACAAACAAGUUACUGACAUGCUCAACUCCAUCUACGGCUGUGCCACGUGUAAAACACACGUGUUUUAUGGCAAUGUGUCAGCGAUGUCCUUCAGCAAUCAAACUGGAACCGUGCUCGUAAAGGCUAGUCUCGUGUUCCAGUCAAACAAAACCAACGCUGAUGAGAUCAAAGGGCUGUUUAUGAACGCGACCGCUGCCGAUAAGGAAAUAAACGGCCUUAAAGUCAACCCUAAUUUCACACAAGUUUCAGUGAAAUCUGAGGAGGCUCCGAAUGCUUUAGUGACUUACGAGCUCACCAUGGACAUCACCAACCGCAUCUACAACAGCUCUCUACUCAAGUCCAACUCUUCUGAUUAUGCGAUCUUGUACAAACAAGUUACUGAC